AUGCAACCAAUUUAUAGUCAGCCAUUCUUCAGCUGUCGCUUCCACAUCGUUCAUUCAUCGUCGUCCUCAUUUUCGCCAAUCCCUACCCAGCGAGUGAAUGCAAACAGGAAUUCCUUGAAGGUAACCAUCCCAUUCUUGUCCCAAUCCAUCUCCUCUGGUGCCCAAAUCUUUUCAUGGCUAUACGGCCAGCGGAGCGUUCCCCUGGUAUGCUCUCAUUUAUUGCUUGAAUCAUCUCAUCCUUGCUCACAUACCCGUCCUUAUUCUUAUCCAAGAAGACAAAUGCAUCAACCAAGGUCUCAAAAGUUGACUCAAGAUCUCCUAAUCCCAUCUUUGUCUUCUGUUAUUCAGUUAAGGAAAUAG
rnacentral:rRNA from 1 species